GACGAACGCUGGCGGCGUGCCUAAUACAUGCAAGUUGAGCGAUGAAGCUUGGUGCUUGCACCAAUUUGAAGAGCAGCGAACGGGUGAGUAACGCGUGGGGAAUCUGCCUUUGAGCGGGGGACAACAUUUGGAAACGAAUGCUAAUACCGCAUAACAACUUUAAACAUAAGUUUUAAGUUUGAAAGAUGCAAUUGCAUCACUCAAAGAUGAUCCCGCGUUGUAUUAGCUAGUUGGUGAGGUAAAGGCUCACCAAGGCGAUGAUACAUAGCCGACCUGAGAGGUGGACGGCCCACUUGGGACCGGGACCCGGCCCCAACCUCUUCGGGGAGCCGCCAUUGGGGAUCUUUCGGCAAUGGCCGAAAUCCUACCGAGCAACGCCGCGGUAGUUAAGAAGGUUUUCGGAUCGUUAAACUCUGUUGAUAAGGAAGAACGUUGUUGGGAGUGGAAAGCUCAUCAAGUGACGGUAACUACCCAGAAAGCGACGGCUAACUACGUG
rnacentral:rRNA from 1 species